UGGCUCAGAACGAACGCUGGCGGCGCGUUUAAGCAUGCAAGUCGAGCGGCAAGGGCCUUCGGGCCCCUAGAGCGGCGGACAGGUGAGUAACACGUGGACAAUCUGCCCCCCGGCCCGGGAUAGCCCAGGGAAACCUGGAUUAAUACCGGAUGAGACGGGACCCGCGAUGGCGGGAUCCGGGAAAGGCGCUGCGGCGCCGCCGGGGGAUGAGUCUGCGUCCCAUUAGCUAGACGGCGGGGUAACGGCCCACCGUGGCGACGAUGGGUAGCCGGCCUGAGAGGGUGGACGGCCACAUUGGAACUGAGACACGGUCCAGACUCCUACGGGAGGCAGCAGCUAAGAAUCUUCCGCAAUGGGCGAAAGCCUGACGGAGCGACGCCCGCGUGAACGAAGAAGGCCGUGAGGUUGUAAAGUUCUUUUCGGGAGGGGGAACAACCGUGGCAGGGAAUGGCCGCGGGAUGACGUGAAUCCCGGAAUAAGCCCCGGCUAACUACGUGCCAGCCGCUGC
rnacentral:rRNA from 1 species